UACGAAGGGGGCUAGCGUUGUUCGGAAUCACUGGGCGUAAAGCGCACGUAGGCGGAUGUGUCGGUCAGGGGUGAAAUCCCGGAGCUCAACUUCGGAACUGCCCUUGAUACAGCACGUCUUGAGUCCGGAAGAGGUGGGUGGAAUUCCUAGUGUAGAGGUGAAAUUCGUAGAUAUUAGGAAGAACACCGGUGGCGAAGGCGGCCCACUGGUCCGGUACUGACGCUGAGGUGCGAAAGCGUGGGGAGCAAACAGG
rnacentral:rRNA from 1 species